CUGAGGCGUGAUGACGAGGCACUACGGUGCUGAAGCAACAAAUGCCCUGCUUCCAGGAAAAGCCUCUAAGCAUCAGGUAACAUCAAAUCGUACCCCAAACCGACACAGGUGGUCAGGUAGAGAAUACCAAGGCGCUUGAGAGAACUCGGGUGAAGGAACUAGGCAAAAUGGUGCCGUAACUUCGGGAGAAGGCACGCUGACAUGUAGGUGAAGUGAUUUACUCACGGAGCUGAAGUCAGUCGAAGAUACCAGCUGGCUGCAACUGUUUAUUAAAAACACAGCACUGUGCAAACACGAAAGUGGACGUAUACGGUGUGACGCCUGCCCGGUGCCGGAAGGUUAAUUGAUGGGGUCAGCGCAAGCGAAGCUCCUGAUCGAAGCCCCGGUAAACGGCGGCCGUAACUAUAACGGUCCUAAGGUAGCGAAAUUCCUUGUCGGGUAAGUUCCGACCUGCACGAAUGGCGUAAUGAUGGCCAGGCUGUCUCCACCCGAGACUCAGUGAAAUUGAACUCGCUGUGAAGAUGCAGUGUACCCGCGGCAAGACGGAAAGACCCCGUGAACCUUUACUAUAGCUUGACACUGAACAUUGAGCCUUGAUGUGUAGGAUAGGUGGGAGGCUUUGAAGCGUGGACGCCAGUCUGCGUGGAGCCGACCUUGAAAUACCACCCUUUAAUGUUUGAUGUUCUAACGUGGACCCGUAAUCCGGGUUGCGGACAGUGUCUGGUGGGUAGUUUGACUGGGGCGGUCUCCUCCUAAAGAGUAACGGAGGAGCACGAAGGUUGGCUAAUCCUGGUCGGACAUCAGGAGGUUAGUGCAAUGGCAUAAGCCAGCUUGACUGCGAGCGUGACGGCGCGAGCAGGUGCGAAAGCAGGUCAUAGUGAUCCGGUGGUUCUGAAUGGAAGGGCCAUCGCUCAACGGAUAAAAGGUACUCCGGGGAUAACAGGCUGAUACCGCCCAAGAGUUCAUAUCGACGGCGGUGUUUGGCACCUCGAUGUCGGCUCAUCACAUCCUGGGGCUGAAGUAGGUCCCAAGGGUAUGGCUGUUCGCCAUUUAAAGUGGUACGCGAGCUGGGUUUAGAACGUCGUGAGACAGUUCGGUCCCUAUCUGCCGUGGGCGCUGGAGAACUGAGGGGGGCUGCUCCUAGUACGAGAGGACCGGAGUGGACGCAUCACUGGUGUUCGGGUUGUCAUGCCAAUGGCACUGCCCGGUAGCUAAAUGCGGAAGAGAUAAGUGCUGAAAGCAUCUAAGCACGAAACUUGCCCCGAGAUGAGUUCUCCCUGAGACUUAAAGUCUCCUGAAGGAACGUUGAAGACGACGACGUUGAUAGGCCGGGUGUGUAAGCGCAGCGAUGCGUUGAGCUAACCGGUACUAAUGAACCGUGAGGCUUAACCUUACAACGCCGAAG
rnacentral:rRNA from 1 species